UACGAAGGGGGCGAGCGUUGUUCGGAAUUACUGGGCGUAGAGGGCGCGCAGGCGGCUCUGAAAGUCAGAUGUGAAAGCCCCGGGCUUAACCUGGGAAUUGCAUUUGAUACUCUGGAGCUUGAGUACGGGAGAGGAGAGUGGAAUUCCCAGUGUAGAGGUGAAAUUCGUAGAUAUUGGGAAGAACACCGGUGGCGAAGGCGGCUCUCUGGACCGAGACUGACGCUGAGGCGCGAAAGCGUGGGGAGCAAACAGG
rnacentral:rRNA from 1 species